GUGUUCCUUCCCAAGGCAGGAGGGUGGAACUGGACAAUUCUUCUAAGCCAGUCCAUUGUAGGAUUCUAUGCUGUAGUCCUAUGAGUAUGACAUAGUCUCUUGGUGAUGGACAUUCCACGCCCAGGGCCCCGGUCCUGCUCCAAGCCAUGACAUGAGCACCAUCACAGCAACGCCCCAGGCUCUGCCUCCUCUGUUACCAGGUGACUGCAGGCAGUCAUGGUUCAGACGUGCUCACACAUCCCAUGUGUGAUCUGCUCCUGCUGGGCUUGCUACUGGCACUGGCCCUGUGCCCAAGGCACUCCAGGAAGCCCUUCUGGCACCCCUGAAUCUCUCCACAGUGUCAGCUGCUGGACUGCUGCCAUGCUGGCCUGACCACUGUGCCCCCAGCCACCAGUGGAUGGGAUCUUGCUAUCUUAAUAUUAACAGCAGUGCUCAAUUAAAACAAAGUGAUGGCUCUUGAGGA